UACGGGGGGAGCAAGCGUUGUCCGGAUUUAUUGGGCGUAAAGAGCGUGUAGGCGGCUAGAUAGGUCCGUUGUGAAAACUCGAGGCUCAACCUCGAGACGUCGAUGGAAACCAUCUGGCUAGAGUCCGGAAGAGGAGAGUGGAAUUCCUGGUGUAGCGGUGAAAUGCGCAGAUAUCAGGAAGAACACCCGUGGCGAAGGCGGCUCUCUGGUACGUGACUGACGCUGAGACGCGAAAGCGUGGGGAGCAAACAGG
rnacentral:rRNA from 1 species